UGUGUGUUAGUGGAAGCGUCUGGAAAGGCGCGCGAUACAGGGUGACAGCCCCGUACACAAAAAUGCACAUGCUGUGAGCUCGAUGAGUAGGGCGGGACACGUGGUAUCCUGUCUGAAUAUGGGGGGACCAUCCUCCAAGGCUAAAUACUCCUGACUGACCGAUAGUGAACCAGUACCGUGAGGGAAAGGCGAAAAGAACCCCGGCGAGGGGAGUGAAAAAGAACCUGAAACCGUGUACGUACAAGCAGUGGGAGCACGCUUAGGCGUGUGACUGCGUACCUUUUGUAUAAUGGGUCAGCGACUUAUAUUCUGUAGCAAGGUUAACCGAAUAGGGGAGCCGAAGGGAAACCGAGUCUUAACUGGGCGUUAAGUUGCAGGGUAUAGACCCGAAACCCGGUGAUCUAGCCAUGGGCAGGUUGAAGGUUGGGUAACACUAACUGGAGGACCGAACCGACUAAUGUUGAAAAAUUAGCGGAUGACUUGUGGCUGGGGGUGAAAGGCCAAUCAAACCGGGAGAUAGCUGGUUCUCCCCGAAAGCUAUUUAGGUAGCGCCUCGUGAAUUCAUCUCCGGGGGUAGAGCACUGUUUCGGCAAGGGGGUCAUCCCGACUUACCAACCCGAUGCAAACUGCGAAUACCGGAGAAUGUUAUCACGGGAGACACACGGCGGGUGCUAACGUCCGUCGUGAAGAGGGAAACAACCCAGACCGCCAGCUAAGGUCCCAAAGUCAUGGUUAAGUGGGAAACGAUGUGGGAAGGCCCAGACAGCCAGGAUGUUGGCUUAGAAGCAGCCAUCAUUUAAAGAAAGCGUAAUAGCUCACUGGUCGAGUCGGCCUGCGCGGAAGAUGUAACGGGGCUAAACCAUGCACCGAAGCUGCGGCAGCGACGCUUAUGCGUUGUUGGGUAGGGGAGCGUUCUGUAAGCCUGCGAAGGUGUGCUGUGAGGCA
rnacentral:rRNA from 1 species